GAAAUGCCAUUGUAGGCAAUCCUGUUGGCUCAAGUUCAGGUGGCUUCACUCAUGCCAACUCUCCCAGUUUGGGAGUUAACCUGCCUUCAGCACACACACAACAGCCUGCUUUGGUAUCUACAUCGAUGUUUUUGCACCCGAGCUCUGAUAGGGUAGAUCUGACCUCUGUUCAAUCUCAUUUUCCUUUUGGGAUGGUAACUCCGGAUGUCUUACGGAAUGGACCCCAGCAGAUGGAGAGCUCACAAGGUGUAGUAACAGAUGAGUUCCCA
rnacentral:misc_RNA from 1 species